AAUAAGUGCAGUCGUGGGAAUCUGUGUCCAAAGUUUGACCGUCCGUCUUAUUUGAAAAAUUUAUGAGAAAAUUAAAAAAAGUUAGUCACACAUAAAGUACUAUUCAUAUUUUAUCAUCUAGUAACAAUAAAAAUAUUAAUCGUAAAAAAAUUUCAAAUAAGACGAACGGUCAAACGUUAAACAUAAAUAGUGUAAAACUACACUUAUU
rnacentral:pre_miRNA from 1 species